GACAGAAUAUAUGUAAUGUUUGUAAAUAAGUUUGUAAGUCAAUAAAAUCUGAUGAAAUGAAAAAUAAUCUUAUUUUGAACAUCUGCACACUUUUAUUGACUUUUCUAAAUUCUACUUGAAAAGGAUUUUGAUAGAACCUGACAGAAACAUGGUAAUUUCCCUACUCAUACUUUUAAGCUGUAUUCCUCUGUGAAUGACCAGCAGAAGAUUAAAUGAUCUUUCAGCAAGUUCUUGCAAAAAUUAAAGGUGAGUCACCUCUCCUUUAAUAUGAAAGUCAAUGUAUAUGAAAUUGUUUUUUUUAUUUGAUCUUUUGACGUUAGGACGCAGAAAAAGUGCUGAGUAGCUCUCAAAUAUUUUUCUGUGGCUUUGUUAAAAGCUUUGUAGAAAUUUAUCACUAGGUUAAUUGUCUCAAAAUAUUUGAAAAUACCCUUUCCCAAAUAGUGGAAAAAGUGAAAAAGUGUAUGCUCUAAUGACCAUUUUGAAUUUUGACUAUUCUCAAUGUUGCUUUUGGUUGAGCUUUUAAAUUUUACUCAAGGGACACAUAUAAAAACAACUCAAAGUGAAAAAUUUUCGGCUUUCAUCAUUUUAACUGCAUAACGUUUGCAUGUGUAUAGAUGCCAAAACAAAAACAGACCCAUUUUAUGGUUUAUUUGUUCUACAUACUUGCAUACAUAAAUCAUUCACAGUUCAAAACUAAACAAUGCACAAGCAAACACCAUUGAUAACAAAGGGUGUGAUACAGGUCCUUUCUGGGUCUCUCUCUGUCAACACAAUAACACCAUUGAUAACAAAGGGUGUGAUAAAGGUCCCUAACACAAUAAAACCAUUGAUAACAAAGGGUGUGAUACAGGUCCCUUCUGGGUCCCUCUCUGUCAACACAAUAACACCAUCGAUAACAAAGGGUGUGAUACAGGUCCCUAACACAAUAACAUCUCAUAUGACAUAUAAGAAUUAGAAUUACUUCUGACUUCAAACCAAAGUCGCACACAAUAACUAUACACUUAUUUUAUAUGAUAAAGGUUAACAUAGGAUAUUACAGUAGUUUUUUUGUUAGGAUAAUAGACGACUAUAGUGGUUUGUUUUCCUCCACUACUUAUGAGUCAUCUACAACGCCGCUAUAUAUAGCCUAGGCCUACUACCCUAAAUCUAUCAAUAAAACAUACCAAAAACUAAACUUGUGUAAACUUACGCAAUACCAUGAUCUAAUGUUUUGGAAAACCUCAGCCCGAGCUUUUUAAUUAUUUUUUUAGAAAUCGUUGCCAAACCUUAAACAAAGUCCAAUUCUGUAAAGUUAUUUAAAUAUAUAAUGUAUUGAACUGGUUACUAAAAAUCUGUUUAGUAGGAACAGAAAUAAUUGAUACACGCUUCAAUGGAGAUUGUUAACAUAUGUAUUUUAUAUAGAAAUAUAAUUAAAAGGUAAAACACCUGAAAUUAAUGCCCUCUUUUUAUAUAUUUAAUUUACCUUGGUAUCAAAAUCAAACAGAAAAAGAAACAAAUGUUUAAUAGUGCUGUCAGUUACGUUAGUUAGACAAUAUAUACAAAAGGUAUUUUUACACAUGAAGGAGCAAUCUGGGGGGAAAAGCACAUGAGUAACCUGUGUAUGAAGAUGACUACCCAACAAACAUUGGGAUCCUAUUCACAAACGUACUUACAUAUACCUACAUCAAAAUAUAACCCGGUUAUCACACAGCAUGUAAAAUCAGCACUGUAAGGUUCUAUAACUCGACUACAUCUACCUGCACACACUUUCUAUAAAAUCUCUGUAACAUAUUUCUAUAGCACUAUUCUACACCAAUAAAUGAAUGGAAUAGGUAGAAAUCAUGUAAUAUUUGACAUAACUGCUGGCAGAAGAACUUUUUACCAGAAGUAUAUGUAUAUAUAUAUGUUUAUACUGUGAAUCAAAUUUCACAAGGUAAAUUUUAACACAGAAUUUAACGCAAAUGAUAUAAACUUAUUAAUGUUUACCAAUUUAAAGGUCCAUGAAUAAUUUGUUUGAAGUACAUCACAAACAUAAGUAAAUACAACGUAUAAUUAACUUGGAGUACCUUGGUAGCUAGAAUGUUUUGUGUUAAUGAAGCAUUAAACUGCUUUCAUAUGCGGCUUAUAGACAAUAACAAUGCCCACUACAUUACAGGAAAAUGACAUGAACCACAUUUGUUUUUAGAUGUGAUAACAUUUUUAAAGGUUUAGAAAAUAUGUUGACCCUUCAACUUUUUUAUGUUGUUUUAAAAAAACUUUGAAGCAAUCAAACGAGAUAAAUGCCAUUGAAAUCUACACAGACUAUGUAAAAUCCUUUUACCUACUGAGGGAUUAGUCUACACAGACUAUGUAUAAUCCUUUUACCUACUGAGGGAUUAGUCUACACAGACUAUGUAAAAUCCUUUUACCUACUGAGGUAUUAGUCUACACAGACUAUGUAUAAUCCUUUUACCUACUGCGGGAUUAGUCUACACAGACUAUGUAAAAUCCUUUUACCUACUGAGGGAUUAGGCUGUUAGAUUCUUUAAAGACCCUGUACAAAACUUUCCGACAGAAAAUAUCAACACAUAUAUAUCAUGUAACAAAUUACAAAUAGCAAAAUAAAUGUUCUGAAGAUGUUAAGUGUGAACACAAAGACACCCGUAUAUUAUAAAUAAAUGCUCCUCCUUGUCCCUCCUUGUAAUAUUAAUUCAUCUUUCUGUCCCCCUAUAUAUUUAUAUCUAGAAAAAGUCCCAGUAAGGUAGUUACAUACCAGUAGUGGUAUCAUGUUUAAUAAACUUAACUAACAAAGUGUUUCUGAAAUAUUUCCUCUCCAGAAGAAUCAAAAUAGUUAACCCUUUCACCCCAAUGCAACUUUAGUAAACUCUACCAUGCAUUGAUCUGGAUGAGUCCAUUUUAGUCUACAGUGAUGAAAGGCUUAAAUCAUUUGAAAGCACUACAGCACUUGAUACGGUUACACGUUGCACCAAUGCAUGGAAUACAGUUGUAAAAUGAUAUGUUUAUACAUGUAUUGCUGCUAUCCAUUCUACAGUGUAAGUACUAUUUAACUUAUAACAGACAGAUCUGCACUACAGUUCAUCACGAGAAAGGUGUCUCCAAUAUUACCCAUGGUUUUAUUUGGUUAGGGCUCAGUUAGAAAUAAGUCUGAGAGUAACCCAAAUAAAUUCAGCAUUUACUGGACUAAUUUGAUCUUUAUUUAAUUAAA